GUUUGAUCCUGGCUCAGGAUGAACGCUGGCGGCGUGCCUAAUACAUGCAAGUCGAGCGAACCACUUCGGUGGUGAGCGGCGAACGGGUGAGUAACACGUAGGUGAUCUGCCCAUCAGACGGGGACAACGAUUGGAAACGAUCGCUAAUACCGGAUAGGACGAAAGUUUAAAGGUGCUUCUGGCACCGCUGAUGGAUGAGCCUGCGGCGCAUUAGCUAGUUGGUAGGGUAAAGGCCUACCAAGGCGACGAUGCGUAGCCGACCUGAGAGGGUGAACGGCCACACUGGGACUGAGACACGGCCCAGACUCCUACGGGAGGCAGCAGUAGGGAAUCUUCGGCAAUGGGCGAAAGCCUGACCGAGCAACGCCGCGUGAAUGAUGAAGGCCUUCGGGUUGUAAAAUUCUGUUAUAAGGGAAGAACGACUUUAGUAGGAAAUGGCUAGAGUGUGACGGUACCUUAUGAGAAAGCCACGGCUAACUACGUGCCAGCAGCCGCGGUAAUACGUAGGUGGCGAGCGUUAUCCGGAAUUAUUGGGCGUAAAGAGCGCGCAGGUGGUUGAUUAAGUCUGAUGUGAAAGCCCACGGCUUAACCGUGGAGGGUCAUUGGAAACUGGUCGACUUGAGUGCAGAAGAGGGAAGUGGAAUUCCAUGUGUAGCGGUGAAAUGCGUAGAGAUAUGGAGGAACACCAGUGGCGAAGGCGGCUUCCUGGUCUGUAACUGACACUGAGGCGCGAAAGCGUGGGGAGCAAACAGGAUUAGAUACCCUGGUAGUCCACGC
rnacentral:rRNA from 1 species